CCCAUCUUUUAAAGGGAAUCUGUAAGGGAGGCAUUUCCUUUGGUAUACCACAAAUGGCUAAGUGAGGGCAUGUGAAGUGGUACCAGAGAAGAAUUUAACAAUACCUCCCAGAAGAGCACUGAAGAUUGAGUAGCUACGUAUAUUUAUACUUAGCUCGUUCCUCAGCUUCUUACUGAACUCCAGAGGUAAAGUACACAGACAUAUUUUACAGCAAGGACUGCAAAAUGGCAAUCUAUACUGCACCUGGAACAGGCCAAGUAAGUUCUUGUAGCUUCCGCCUCUUCCUUCUCUCUCCCCUUAUUUUAAGGGUUAAAAUUGAGUCCUAGUUGCUUCAUAAUUGAGCCUUGGUCUGGUGCCUCCCUUUAAACAGUGGGAUCAACAAACCAAUCUUUUUAUAAGGAAAAGGUAAGGAGCUGUCUGUUUACAAUUGCAUGUAUAAAAUGUUAUAUUGAGAAAGAAAAUAUUAAAUGC